AGACCUGCAGUGGAGACUGGGACAUGUUCAAGCAUCUGUCUCUAUGCUCUCAUCUUUGGAGGAAGGAAAAAGUUUUACCCUGAUUUCCUAGUAGUGGUCCUGCGUUCUGCACUAACCACACAGAAGUAGUUCACAAGGCAUGGUAGAGACCACAGCACCUUUCUGGUGCAUGAGGACACAACAAUCGUUUUCUGCCCAUUGCUUGUGGUUGGCAGUGUCACCUGGCUUCGACAGCAUUGACCUCCACCACUGGGAUUUAUGUGCGGUCUAGAGCACAUGACAGAGAAGGCAGAAGCCCUAAUCCUGAAAAGAACAGAAAACUGCCAGCUCUCACUGAAGGCUAGGAGAGCAUGGACUGGUCUGCAUUUCCCAACAGUAAACACAGAUACUUCUGAAUUUCUAUGAAAAUCAUUUAUGUCCAGG